rnacentral:sRNA from 1 species
AGGGGGUGGAUCCACACACCGUGACCUCACACUGGAAAUAUGGGGCUUGCAUGUGGCAUAGGAUGCCAGAAGGUUCAACGAGACGGCCAUAAAUAUCUGGGCAGGGAGGGGUAGUCUGCUAUAUGACAUAUACUGGUAUAGGUCACCAGAUAGACAGGCGUGGCCAUCAAGAUCUUGGACCUUUUGUUUACCCGGAACGACAGCUUAGGAUUGGGCUGCGGAUCAGCGAUUGUCAGAUUUGAGACAACAGGGUCAGGGAGCUUACGCAUGCAGGGGGGCGACGUGAUAUAAUAGUUGUAACUAUGUCGGCUCUGUGUGCUUCCAGAUAGAAAGAAAUUGCUGUCUUUCUUGACAAAUGGCAACGGGGAUCAGCACCUGAUUUUUCUCUGAGUUGCCUGCAUGGAAAACGGCCAAUCCAAGAUACGAAUUCAAAGCCGUGCAUAGUAUGUGUAUGUCUUGAUGGUAGAAUAAAUACCAUUCCUUCAUGCCAACGAGUUCGUCGGAUAAUAACUCUAGUCAUAUCAGCUUUGUAACACUCCCACCUUGGGGGGGAAUGUCGGAUUGGGUGAUUCGCCCCCGCCCCCUCUAAACCACCAUGGUGGUGAUAGAGCUCUUUCGUCCCAGUG